UACGUAGGGUGCGAGCGUUAAUCGGAAUUACUGGGCGUAAAGCGUGCGCAGGCGGCGCGUUAAGACAGGUGUGAAAGCCCCGAGCUUAACUUGGGAAUUGCGCUUGUGACUGGCGUGCUGGAGUGUGGCAGAGGGAGGUGGAAUUCCACGUGUAGCAGUGAAAUGCGUAGAGAUGUGGAGGAACACCGAUGGCGAAGGCAGCCCCCUGGGCUGAGAUUGACGCUGAUGCGCGAAAGCCAGGGGAGCGAACGGG
rnacentral:rRNA from 1 species